rnacentral:rRNA from 1 species
AGCGAACGCUGGCGGCAGGCUUAACACAUGCAAGUCGAGCGGGCACUUCGGUGUCAGCGGCAGACGGGUGAGUAACACGUGGGAACGUACCCUUUGGUUCGGAAUAACGCUGGGAAACUAGCGCUAAUACCGGAUACGCCCUUUUGGGGAAAGGCUUGCUGCCGAAGGAUCGGCCCGGGUCUGAUUAGCUAGUUGGUGGGGUAAUGGCCUACCAAGGCGAGGAUCAGUAGCUGGUUUGAGAGGAUGAUCAACCACACUGGGACUGCGACACGGCCCAGACUCCUACGGGAGGCAGCAGUGGGGAGUAUUGGACAAUGGGCGCAAGCCUGAUCCAGCCAUGCCGCGUGAGUGAUGAAGGCCUUAGGGUUGUAAAGCUCUUUUGUCCGGGACGAUAAUGACGGUACCGGAAGAAUAAGCCCCGGCUAACUUCGUG